AAAUUUAUUUAUAAUCAAAUUAACACAUUGGAAUUGAGGAAGGAAUUUCAUAUUUUCAUGAGUAAUUAAACAUUCCAGAAAAUUGAUUUCAGGACUUUCUCGCUCAGUUAAAUCAAUGUUUAUCUUAAUUUCAUUCAAAUUUACAUUAAUUUUUUUUUCAAUUUUUACAAGUUUUUCUUCAGAUUUUGGGGUUCAGUAGCCUUGAAUUUAAUCUGAAUUUAGUGUAAUGGUUAUUCGAUUAGUCAAAUUCAUGUUAAAAUUCUCAAAUUCUGCUUCAUUUUGUUCAAAUUCAACAAUAAGAACAAUUUCAUCAGUACAAUAUGUAGCAUCUAGGGCAAGAGACCCAACAUUUGAGAAGUAUAUGGAUCAUUACAAGAAGCUUGUUAAAGUAAUUGCUAUUCAAGACUUAAUCUUGGCAAACCCUAACAAAAACCCACCUUCAGUUUCAGUUGAUUUCUUGUCUAGGUUGUCUCAAAGACUUCACCUAAACAAGGGUGCACCAUCGGCGGUACCCUCAUGUUUUUGACAUUUUCUAUGAUCAUACUAAGUCUAUGCCUUAUUGUAAAUUGAAUGAUAAAGUGGUUGAGAUUGUUAAAUUGGAGGUGGGCGAUUAAUGAGUCGUUGUCGUUGGUUGUGGAACGAUUGGUUCGAGUGUUGUUGAUGUCGGUGUCUAGGUCAGUGCCGUUGAGGGUGGUUUUUAAAGUGUGGAGGGAGUUGGGUCUUCCUGAUGAUUUUAAGGAGUUGGCAGAAGUUGCCGUAUAUUGGGUCGUAUGAGGUUGUAGGAGAAAAGAAGAGAUCAAAGAUUGGUUUAAAGGGGCUGGAGAAACGAGCUGUUGCUAAAGAUGAUGUGCGAGACAAAGAUGAUAGACAGAUUUCUGCCUCUUCAGUUUUAGACAAUACUGAAAGAGACCAAUGAUACCAUAACUAAGAUGAUCAAAAUGUUGGAUUACUGGAAAUUAAAGGUUGGCAAUGAAGCCUAUUCAAUUUACUGUUACUCUUUAGACUCAAUCUCUCAAAAGAUUGGAAAUAAAGUCACAUUAAUUAUUUAUGGAAUACUUCUUGCUGAAAUAUCUACUCUUCAGACUCAAUCUCUCAAAUUACUUGCUCUGUAUGCAGUUGGCAGAGUUGGUACAUUAUUCAAUGAGUGAAAUAAUAGAGAGAAAAAGGCCUAACGUCACUGACAUUUUAGUGAAAAGUUGACCAUAAAAGGAUGGGGCAAGUAUUUGAGCUACCCUGAAAAGGUGAAAAGGAAAAUGGGCAGCCAACUCUGUCUAUUACUCAUGUGAAAGUGUGAAGUAGCUGGUGUGGUUUGUGCGAGCAAGAAGCCAAUCAUAUCUCUUCCCAAGGAAUUAAUCCUGCAUCUAGUCAGUGAUUUCUCGUGGAUGUCCCUGCCAUUGCCCAUGCAUCAGUUCUUCCUCAAUACAGUCUACAAGACAAGGACCAUCAAUGAAUAUGUUCAUCCUAGAAAUCCAUAUCGUGAUCCACAGGAUGGUAGUGCUUAGAUUUGUAGCUCAGUCAUGCCCCAAGGCUAUCUAAAUUACACAUUGACUUGGUAUGUGUUCUCCAUUUGGACACUUUGUUAUGAUUGCACUUACAGCUUUAUCUACUGUUGUUUGAAUCACCUCAAGGCUGUAUGUGUUUUGUUUUAAUUUAAUUUUUUUAUUUUAUCUACUACAGUAUACCGUGCUAAUGUACAAGGUAUAGAUCAUAUUAGAAACUUACAUUCGGGGGUUUACUGUGUGGAAGUUAUUUUACAGACAUUUUAUUGCCAAUUCAUGAGAUCACAGUUAACACUAAAACCUUGAGCAUUGAACCUUGGAGGUCAGCUAGACUUCACUAUCCACCGGCUUUAUGGUUUGAAACAAGCAAGCAGACAAUGGUUUGCCAAAUUAAUUUUAGACUUAGAGAUGCAAGAUUAUGAUUAA